CUGAUGAUGAGGUUCCAAUUCAGAUUUAUUUAGAUUAAAAGCAAAGCUGUUUCUCUGGUAGAGGGAGCUGAUGACAUUCAAAUUCCUGGAACUACCCUGGGCACCACCUUUCCCUCCUCUGCUCACCUUCCUAAAGCAACCUGAUGGCAUGCAGACAUUCAGCACCCGGAGAAGAUGCCAGGACCGUUCGGGAUGCGGUGCUGGUAAUCACCACAGCACAAUGAACGAGAAACCAACUUUUAUUCUGUCUCGGCGAAAUUUGGUCAUUCCGUGCAAUGGGUACCUGGCCUCCUGUCUUUGGUCUGUUUAGGGAAGAGACUGGUUCCUUUCAAGCAAUGACGAAAUCCUAAUAAAG